GAUGAACGCUAGCGGCAGGCUUAAUACAUGCAAGUCGAGGGGCAGCGCGGGUAGCAAUACCUGGCGGCGACCGGCGCACGGGUGCGUAACACGUAUGCAACCUACCUUAAACUGGGGAAUAGCCCCUCGAAAGAGGGAUUAAUGCCCCAUAACACUGUGAAAAGGCAUCUUUUUACAUUUAAAGCUCCGGCGGUUUAAGAUGGGCAUGCGCGACAUUAGCUAGUUGGUGAGGUAACGGCUCACCAAGGCUGUGAUGUCUAGGGGUUCUGAGAGGAAAAUCCCCCACACUGGUACCUGAGACACGGACCAGACUCCUACGGGAGGCAGGCAGUAAGGAAUAUUGGUCAAUGGGCGGAAGCCUGAACCAGCCAUCCCGCGUGAAGGAAGAAGGCCUUAGGGUUGUAAACUUCUUUUCUGUUUUGAAGAAUAAGCUUGUCGAGACAAGUGAUGCCGGUAGACAGGAAUAAGCAUCGGUAACUCGUGCCAGCAGCCGGGUAAACUGUAGUCGU
rnacentral:rRNA from 1 species